GAUGAACGCUGGCGGCGUGCUUAACACAUGCAAGUCGAACGAAGCACUUACCAAGGAUUUCCUCGGAAUGACUAGUAAGUGACUGAGUGGCGGACGGGUGAGUAACGCGUGGGUAACCUACCUCACACAGGGGGAUAACAGUUAGAAAUGACUGCUAAUACCGCAUAGGCGCACAGUAUCGCAUGAUACAGUGUGAAAAACUCCGGUGGUGUGAGAUGGACCCGCGUCUGAUUAGCUAGUUGGUGAGGUAACGGCCCACCAAGGCGACGAUCAGUAGCCGGCUUGAGAGGGUGACCGGCCACAUUGGGACUGAGACACGGCCCAAACUCCUACGGGAGGCAGCAGUGGGGAAUAUUGGGCAAUGGGCGAAAGCCUGACCCAGCAACGCCGCGUGGA
rnacentral:rRNA from 1 species